GACGAACCACCCAAACGUUAUUCGGAAUUACUGGGCUUAAAGGGUGCGUAGGCUGUGCGGAAAGUUGGGUGUGAAAUACCUCAGCUUAACUGAGGAACUGCGCUCAAAACUACCGUGCUCGAGGGAGACAGAGGUGAGCGGAACUUAGGGUGGAGCGGUGAAAUGCGUUGAUAUCCUAAGGAACACCGGUGGCGAAAGCGGCUCACUGGGUCUCUACUGACGCCGAGGCACGAAAGCGUGGGGAGCGAACAGG
rnacentral:rRNA from 1 species